UCUAUGGCAGCAAUCUCGAUUUUGAACGAUGUCGGUCGCGUAUUUUUUUUUACAGGGCUGACCGUCGGUGCAUGAUUUCUGCCGCGCAUGCGCGACCUCGCAAGGUGUUUUUGCUGCACAAGGGGAAAGAUGCACUAAAGCCUGUUCGGCGUUUCUUGUACCCACGCUGGCCGUGCCUCCGAAAGGAAUGAGGCCUACCUGAAAUUGUGGUCGAGCGGUCGAAACAGUGCUAACCCAGUCGUGCGGCUGCGAAGACGUAGACCGGAAAAGUGUUUACCAUACGCGCCUUUCCUCUUUACUGUCUGGAAAAACUGCGUGCACGUUUAAAAGCUCGAGAGUGGAGAGUAACUGCCUGGCCAUACUUGGAGCGAAAACUUGCCACGCGGAUUCGACUAUACAGCGUUGACGACGGCGCGACUCUUGUGCGGUGGCUGCUGAAAUCUGCCGGGAAUUUUAAAGCGGUUUUCUUGCCGGUGGCUUACUGCUGGUUCCCUCCAUCAUCACACGUGGAUACGGCAAUCUUACUAUCAGCUGAAAAACUGCAUCCCGGUCAUGGUCUCGACUAAGCCCCAGCUAUCGCUCCGAUGCCGAUCAACGAAUUGUCCCUUGCUCUGCAAAAGCCAAAUUCGUCUACAGCGCCACUGCCCUUCACCAAGAGUUUGAAGGACCCGCGCGGCCCUGUUAUCGUCAGUGGGCACGCGAGCGGCAUUCAGCACAGUGUGGUUCACAUGUAUCGCCUAUUUGCCCCGCAGGGGCGGCAUGCAGCUACUGUAUGCGUGCACACCACCGUCGUCACCGGAGGAGAGCCACCGACCGGCGUAGAUGACGGGCUCCUUGUCG